GAUGAACGCUGGCGGCGUGCCUAAUACAUGCAAGUCGAGCGAACAGACGAGGAGCUUGCUCCUCUGACGUUAGCGGCGGACGGGUGAGUAACACGUGGAUAACCUACCUAUAAGACUGGGAUAACUUCGGGAAACCGGAGCUAAUACCGGAUAAUAUAUUUAACCGCAUGGUUCAAUAGUGAAAGACGGUUUUGCUGUCACUUAUAGAUGUAUCCGCGCCGCUUUAGCUAGUUGGUAAGGUAACGGCUUACCAAGGCGACGAUGCGUAGCCGACCUGAGAGGGUGAUCGGCCACACUGGAACUGAGACACGGUCCAGACUCCUACGGGAGGCAGCAGUAGGGAAUCUUCCGCAAUGGGCGAAAGCCUGACGGAGCAACGCCGCGUGAGUGAUGAAGGUCUUCGGAUCGUAAAACUCUGUUAUUAGGGAAGAACAAAUGUGUAAGUAACUAUGCACGUCUUGACGGUACCUAAUCAGAAAGCCACGGCUAACUACGUG
rnacentral:rRNA from 1 species